UACGGGGGGGGCAAGCGUUGUUCGGAAUUACUGGGCGUAAAGGGCUCGUAGGCGGCCAACUAAGUCAGACGUGAAAUCCCUCGGCUUAACCGGGGAACUGCGUCUGAUACUGGAUGGCUUGAGUUCGGGAGAGGGAUGCGGAAUUCCAGGUGUAGCGGUGAAAUGCGUAGAUAUCUGGAGGAACACCGGUGGCGAAGGCGGCAUCCUGGACCGACACUGACGCUGAGGCGCGAAAGCUAGGGUAGCAAACGGG
rnacentral:rRNA from 1 species